ACUCUCUUGAGUGUUAUUAGUGCUGCCAAACCAGCUAUAGCCAAUUAUCCAUUUACCACAUUGCUACCAAACCUUGGUGUGGUCUCAUUAGAUUUUGAUGCUACAAUGGUAGUUGCUGAUCUUCCUGGCUUACUGGAAGGCGCUCAUCGUGGUUACGGUUUGGGUCAUGAGUUCCUAAGGCAUAGUGAGCGAUGCUCUGUCUUGGUAUGUUCCCUUUUCCAUUCUUUACUAUAAUCUUAAUAUAUGCGUCAAAUUUCAUAUGGUUAUGACAACAUAAUCACAAGAUUACUUAUCUUGGCAUGACUGUGCUGAUAAUUGUUUUAUGGCUUGGAGCAUUAGGUGCAUGUCGUUGAUGGUUCUGCACAACAACCAGAAUAUGAGUUUGAGGCAGUUCGCUUGGAGCUGGAGUUAUUUAGUCCAUCUUUGGUUGACAAACCCUAUGUGGUGGUGUUCAAUAAGAUGGACCUUCCAGAGGCAUCUGAGAGAUGGAAUACAUUUAGGGAAAAGGUACAGUCUGAGGGCAUUGAACCUUUCUGCAUUAGUGCAAUAAACAGGCAAGGCAUGCAGGAUGUCAUUCAUGCUGCUUACAAGCUUCUUCAGAAAGAGAGGCAGAGGAUGAAGGAAACUGAAGGUGCUUAUUUAUCCUCUCAGUUUAGCUAUAGCUGUGGCCAGCCACAAUAACUUACUCAAGGCUGAAGCUGGUUUUACACUAUGCUUCAUUUCUUUUUGAGCUUUUCAUCUUGAAACUAUAUAUUGCUGCAGGAUGGAGUGGGCCAGAAAAUCUGAACCACGUAUCUGAUGCAAUAAAAAAGGAAAGACGUGCACCCAUGAAUGAGUUUGAGGUUUUCCAUGAUAAGGGUACAAAUACAUGGAAUGUUGUUGGAGCUGGAAUCGAGCGUUUUGUUCAGAUGACUAACUGGCAGUAAGUAGUUUUGUCGCAGCGCUAAUUGUUGGUGCCACUACACUACACUACACUACACAUUUUCUAACGUCUUCUCCUGAUGAAGGUACUCGGACUCCUUGAAAAGGUUUCAGCAUGCCCUAGAGGCAUGUGGUGUCAACAGAGCUCUUAGCAAACAGGGAGUUAAAGAAGGUGAUACGGUGAUAAUUGGUGAGGUAUGUAUGCACACUAAUCAGGGCACAAUGGAUCGCUGAACUAAAAGAAGCACAAAAAUCAUUUUGUCACACACUGGUGGGCACGCACAUGGAUUAUCGCUUUCAACAAGAAUUGCUUUCUCUGUAGAUGGAAAUGGUUUGGAACAACGAAACGGAUAGGGCUCGUCCGUCAAAGACGAUGAACACACAAGAUGAUGCUGUCCGGUGGCCUGAAUUCGGCUAGAGCAGUAAUAGUUCUUGAGCUUCUUCGUAGCUGUAGAGGUAAGUCUUAGUGAAAAGCUUGGCACUAGCCUUACUGAGGCAUUGUUUCGCAUAAAAAGAGAAACUUCACUGAAGCAUCGAAGAGCUGAUACUGCUCACAGACCAUAUGGAUGCACCUUUUGAUCGUCUUUGUUUCUUUAUCUGGGAUUUUGAACACAUCGCCUCAUUUUGCAUCCGCUUGAUGUUUCGCAGGAAGAUACCAGUAGUUGACGCGCAAAAUGCAGAUCUUCGUGCAGUCUGCAUGCAAUUGACAUGGUUUUGAGGAGAAGAGAAAUGCUUCAGAUCAGUAGGCGCUUUGUAUUUAGCGCUAAAGAUGCUUCUACAUGCUCCCGCGAGGAGAGCUUCCGUUGUAGAGGACGAUGAGCACGUGCAACGCAGCGAUUUACAUGCACCCCGAGAUGGCUCUUGAGAGUAAAUUUACAUGCACACAGAAAGAAAGUUAAGAUAAAAUAUAAAUUUAAGGAUUUUGUUUAGGAAAGAAAAGAAAAAAAGAAUAAAUGGGCAUUCAGUUAGGAAAAGAACUACAUAAUCCCUAAAACUAAAAAAAGGAAUAAAUGGGCAUUCAUUUAGGAAAAAGUCUACAUAAUUCUCAAAACUAUUUAGGGUAGACUAUUUUACCCUCUGAACUAUAAAACCGAAUAUUCUACCACCUGAACUUUUCAAAACCGGUUAAAUAACCCUCUCAAACUCUGAUUUGGAGGGUGGUUUUGUCUUUUUCUUUUUUAUUUGUUUUUGUUGAAUAUUUGAAAAAACAUAAUAAAUCAUAGAAAAAACAUAAAAUGGAAAAUCUAAUCUUGUUGGAACCCCCAUGAGUAAUACGGUAUGCUUUAGUACAAAGUUUUUGCUAUAGCUUCAUAUCUAUGUUUUUCUGUAAUUAAUUAGAAUAAUUUAUAUACGCAGUUUCUAUGGUCCAAUUAUGAUGAGCUAAUUAUUAUCUGGUUGAAGUAUAGUAAAAAUUUUGUACCCGUAUAACUUUAGUUAUAGGUUUAUUUAGGUUUAAUCUUGUUAAAUUUAUGCUUAUCUAUAACUAAGUUAUAUGUGAUCCAAUGAAUAUGAAAUUUUUAUCAUAGUUCAAGCAUACAAUAAUGAGCCCACCAUAAAAAUUUUACCAUAAUUGGACCAUAGAAACUGCAUAUAUGAAUUGUUCUAAUUAAUUAUAGAAAAACAUAGAUUUAAAGUUAUAUUAAAAAACUUUAUACUAAAGUAUAUUAUAUUCUAUGUUCACUGUGUAGAUCUACUCAUCAAGAGUCCAACAAAAUUAGAUUUUAUAUUUUAUGAUUUUUCUGUGAUUUGUUAUGAUUUUUCAAAAAAUUGACGGAAAUAAAUAAAAAAAACAAAACCGUCCUCUAACACCACUCGAGAGAGUUAUUUGACUGGUUUUGAAAUAUUUAGGAGUAGAAUAUCUGAUUUUAUAGUUCAGGGAGUAAAAUAGAUUACACCGAAUAGUUGAGAGGUUAUGUAGAUUUUUUUUCCAUAUUAAAUUAAGUUAUAAGUUGCUUUAAUUUUUUUUUUCGAAGACGAAACCCCAACCUCGUUAUUAUCUUCUUACAAGUCCCGCACAAAGUUCGAUUGCGUAUCAUAAAGUGGAAACGGGACAUGGGCCCAAAAAUUUUGCAAAAUUUUUCAGAUUUUCCGUCACAUCGAAUCUUUAGACGUAUACAUGGAGUAUUAAAUAUAGAUAAAAAUAAAAACUAAUUGCACAGUUUGGUCGGAAUUGACGAGACGAAUCUUUUAAGCCUAGUUAGUCUAUAAUUAGACAAUAUUUAUCAAAUACAAACGAAAAUGUUACUAUUCAUAUUUUGCAAACUUUUUUGGAAGUAAACAAGGCCUAUAGCAAUCCUCCCCACUUUAGUCAGCAGACAGUACUAAGGCCCUGUUUAGAUUGGAGAUGAAAAUUUUUUGGGUGUCACAUCGGAUGUGUCGGAAGGAUGUCGGGAGAGGUUUUUAGAAUUUAAUAAAAAAAUAAAUUACAUAGCUCGUCAGGAAACUACAAGACAAAUCUAUUAAGUAUAAUUAAUUUGUCAUUAGCACAUGUGGGUUACUGUAGCACUUAAGGCUAAUCAUGGAGUAACUAGGCUUAAAAGAUUCGUCUCGCGAUUUUCAACCAAACUGUGUAAUUAGUUUAUUUUUUUAUGUACAUUUAAUGUUCCAUACAUGUGUCCAAAGAUUUGAUGGGAUGGAUGAAAAAAUUUUGGACGGAAAGGGCCUAAGAAGAUUGCAGCCACGAAAGGCAUGUGCAUGUAAACGGAAAAAAAAAUUAGGUGCGGACCGUCCUUACCUGGUACGGUGCGGAUCUCCACUAAUAUUACGAGGCAUGACUUCGAUUGGCUGGAGCCCCCAGCGCUUGCAGCCGCAAGGCCACAAUAGAUGUCCUCGGCUCUUAGUCUGGUUGGCGUUAGCUCGCACCCACAAGCUAAACGGGCUUGUUAAUUCGCGGCGGGUUUGAUCAUAGAUGGGAUUUUGGAAAAGCACUGCAAUUACAGCUACAGGAGACAGCCGCCAUCACGCGGUGCCACAGUAAUACUAGGUAGCGACAUAUAUAGUGUGAUCUAAUUCAAUUGGAGGCAGGUGAACGGCGGCCAGCAGCACAAACAAAAAACUGCAGAAGCAGUUGCCUUAUGAAGAAUUGGAAUCACAUCGCGCUUCUCCUUGACGGACGCCCCAUGCGCCUUGCUGGAAUCCAGCAGCUGUAUGUCCGGCACCAUCGGAUCAGGCGAGGCAGACAACGAGCUAAUGCAUCUUUGGCACUGAUGAUCUGAUGGGAGAGGCAGACGGCGAGGGGGAUUAUGUUGCAAAGUUGAGACAGGGAUAGCGAUCGAGAGCAAUUGCAGCCUUGCAGGUGGGGGUGGACGACGGUGUAGCAACUGCAAUUGGAGAGGAGAGAGCGGCGGCUGACCGACGUUGAGCACGAGGAGACGAACGAGAUUAGGCCGAGGCGCCAAGCCAUCAGCCGCGGCUGCCGCAUGGAGCCGAGUCCGAUCGCAAGCCAGCGCUGAGACGUGGAGUCAGCUGUAUCUACACUCGUCCACGUGUCGCAAUUUUACUGAAAGUCUGCACAGCGCCGGGUGAGGGUUACAUACACAAUGAAUAGGGCCCUUGACGCUAUCCUGAAUAGCAUCGAUCAACUAAUGAUAAAUCGAACUCACCAGACACUAGUUGCGUCCUCCGGGGCAGGUGGAUGCCUAACCAUCGUCCUCGGCAGGGCGAGUAUUUAAGCCUGCGUCAGUGGAAGGCAGAGUGAGAACUAUGCAUCAUCGAGGAAUCAUGAAAAUCCCACUAGAACUAAUUAAAUUUUAAACUGAGUAUCUGGUCAAGAGAGGCAACGAAAAAAAUGGUAUGUGUAUUACAUACCUGGAGCUUGGGCCAGUGCUUUCCCACGGAAACAAAGCAUAGAGAGAACGAAUGUUAUCGUGCAUGUUCCCGCAUCGCGAAGAGUUGGGUCCAACACCUGCACCACGCACGGACGACCACAGUAAUUGAACCGGCAACUAUAUAUGAAAGAAAAAUGCGAAAAUAACUCAAUUAAGCCUCUGCAAUAUUUCUAUACCUUGCAGACUUCAACUGCUGAAGCCGUCCUAAUGAUAUUCUGUUUCAAACCACUCAUUUGCUUCUUAUAGUCACUGUAAAGAGCAUCCACAUCUUGGCUGGGACUGUACUUUGUUAAGCCAUUUUCAAGUAAUAUGUAGUUAACACCUUCUACGGUGUCUUGAAGCAAGAUGUGGCUGAUUGCAGCCAAUCCUUCAAGAGCACCAAGGAGUGAGAUGACGGUUACCUUGUUGGCCUUCCCAUUGUAUGUGUCCUCGCCAACUUUCACAAAUAUGGACGCGUAGAUUUUAACUGUCUGCAAGUAUUUGAUUUAUGUUUUUAAAAAGAAAAAAAUUAUUAGUGAUGCAAUCGCAACUUGAGAAAAUGACAUAAACAAAUCAAAUUUGGUACCUGUUCUAUUGUAUUCAGAGAAAUUUCGGUUGGAUGUUGGAGCCUUGAAGAGGCACUUUCCUGAACCAAUAACAGAUAGAGAAUCUUAUUAGUCAGACAAACUGCAGCUACAUCACCCAAAUUUUUUUUUGACACAGACCAUGUACAAAGUUCAACUAAAACAAAUGCGAUUACCAUGACUCUCGAAGAUAAGGAGAGAGCUUGCGCAGCAGUCCAGUACAUCUCUAAUGACAUCUUGGCUUCUGCAUGCUACAAUUUCCCCAAGUUGUACCGUUGUCAUUUCUUUAUUAAUUAGUCUUUUAAGUACAAUAAUGUACAUUGACAUUAAAGAAAUCCAUCAUGUUAUGAAGUGUGGAUGAGCAUAGCUUACAAUUAAUUUGGAACAGAGGAGUACAUAACUUAAAAUGAAUAUGUGCUGAAGAAAAACUAACCAGGAUGUCCAAAUUAUUACGAGCAGAAAAAAUGUCCCAAAACUUGUCCAUAAUUUUCCGCUCCUCGUCACGAAACAUAUCCUAAAAUGACAAGUAAAUUAGUUUCAAAUUGCGGUACUAGUUAGUGCUGGAUGUGAGUAGUAAAACCGUGAAGAAAAAUAGGAAAUCGUCUACUAACCCUCCAAAAAAUAUAUAUAGCACACAGCACCUGUACUGUAAUAGUAUUUAAUUUAAAGUAAAACAAAUGCCAACAAAAACUAACCUUGCUAUUUAUUGUGCUAUCUUCAAUGGAAACACCCAACUUAGCCGCGUACUCCUCGGCGAACCUAUCUAUUUCCUCUCGUACCUUCUUGGCCCAGUCCGUCUUCUACAAUAGUACAGAUACAGUACAGUUAAUGUUAACAUUAGACUGACGAGAGAGUAGAGCGCAAUUGAUCAGCUCCGUCCAACGCAGAAUAGACAGAGAUGGAGCGAGUAAAUAAAGUUUUGAAUUCAUUACGCUGUCAUCCUCGUCGUCGUCGGGGGCUGGCUCACAUGACCGACGACGACCGGCGGUACAGCGGGACACAGGCUGCAGGAGGCGGCGAGCCGUGGCCGUGGCCGUCUGCAUCUUCAUCAGCUGGCCGCUCGAGAACCGCAGCAGGAAGGGUUUCCUUCCCAAGUUGCUGAGAGGCCUGAGGCCGGCGGUGGCCACCGGAGCUGCUGCAUGACUCGGUGGGCGAGGGAUGAGGAGAUGGACGCCCAUCGUCUUCCGGAGGCGCGCGGUGGCUGACGACGACGGAAGAUGAGCGGUGGCCGGCCGGUGGAUCGGAUGAGCUAGCUACUAGACGGCCGGGGACUACAUCCCUGCUGGAGUACAUCGUCGUACUUUAUAGUCUAGUAGUCGAUGCCUGGCUCGAUUAUUCCGAGUGCGUUUUGGCAAACAGCAUCCGUUUCGAUUCUCAUCGCCCCAACGCGUUUCUGGCGUACCGUUUCACGCGUCAAACGUUUGUCGAAUUUUGCUUGCCGAGUCAGAAACGGCCAGACGUGUUUCGCAGUGAUUCUCGUUAUAGCUUUUGAACGUUCCCUCCUACUUGCUACAAGAUUAAUUACAGCACCUGCCACUGUUUAUCCUCUCCCAGACGAGACAAUGGCCCCAUUUAGUUGCAGAAAUUUUUGUAAAAUAGCUACUUAUUUAGCACUUUCGUUUGUAUUUGAAAAUUAUUGUCUAAUCAUAGACAUCAAAAGUAUUAAUUUUUUCUAGAUAAUCUCAUCAUCAGUGAUUGGAAAGGUAAGUUGAUGUGCUAACUUGUUUUAUUCCUAAUGCACUGCAUUUGGCAUUGCUUAAUUCGUGGAAUUUCCUGGCUGCCUGGAUCCUUAUGUGAUUCACAUUGUUACAUGUUGGAGGAAUUCCUACUGCUUAUAAAUUUUCGACCAAUAAUAUUGAUAAGUCAUUUUUGUUGCAUAAAGGUCCUCAAAGAGUUGAAUGCCAUUGAAGUGAAAUACUUGAAAUCUUGAAUGACUCUAACAGUUAUCCACAAAUAAUCCAGCUCUACGUUUCGCUAACAUACAACUUUUUGAAGAUGCUGGUGUCUGGCAGGUCAUUAGAGUUGGAGGUUGGAGCUAAAGUCGUUGGUUGCCGAUGUAGGGAUUGUAGGUGCUCCAAAUGCUAAGAAGAGCACUCUUUUGAGUGUUAUUAGUGCCGCCAAGCCAGCUAUAUAUAGCCAAUUAUCCUUUUACCACAUUAUUGCUACCAAACCUUGGUGUGGUUUCAUUAGAUUUUGAUGCUACAAUAGUAGUAGUUGCUGACCUUCCUGGCUUGCCGGAAGGCGCUCAUCCUGGUUAUGGUUUGGGUCAUGAGUUCCUAAGACAUAGUGAGCGAUGCUCUGCCUUUGGUAUGCUCCCUUUUCCCUUCUACUCCAAUCUUAAUAUACGUAUCAAAUUCCACAUAUAUAUGGUUAUGAGAAAAUUACGCGAUUAUAUAUCUUGGCAUGACUGUGCUAAUAGUUGUUUUCUGGCUUGUUGGAACAUUAGGU
rnacentral:lncRNA from 1 species